AUGGGAGGUUUAGGCUUCAGGGAUUUUGAACUAUUUAACUUGUCUUUUCUUGCUUGGAAGACUUGGAGAAUUCUUUAGGAACCAACCUCUUUGAGUGCGAGAAUAUUAAAGGCAAUCUACUUCCCAAAUAAUUUGAUCUUGGCUCCCACAUUAGGAUCUCACCCACCACUGAUAUGGAGGUCAAUUGUAGAGGUCCGAGAUGUAUUAACACAAGGAUUAAUUAGGAAAAUUGGAGAAGGAAGUUCAACUGAAAUUUGGGGGCAUAACUGGUUGCCGAGAGAAGGAAGCAUGAGACUGAUCACUACAUCGCCUGUGGGUAAUCUGAAGGAAAUAUGCUGUAGAGGCAAUAAUAAAGUUAUUAUUUAUUUCCUUAUAUCAUGA
rnacentral:rRNA from 1 species